GGAGUAACUGAAUGGAUCAAUGUCUAUAACCUAAAACGGUGCGUCUUGUAGUGACGGACCAGUUUCUGAUCUUUGUUGGACGGGACAGGGUCACCACUCCCUUGUAUAUCAGGAUUUGUGUAUUUUAAUGGGAUUAAUGGAUAUAUACCGUGCGUCUUGUAGUGACGAACCAGUUCCUGAUCUUUGUUGGACGGGACAGGGUCACCACUCCCUUGUAUAUCAGGAUUUGUGUAUUUUAAAGUCAUUUAUUGAUAUUUUCGGUGCGUCUUGUUGUCACGGAUGCUUGUGUUAAUAUUGGCUACAGGCAAGGACAACCUCAGCCUAACAUGUGUUAAUCAUUUGAUUGUUGACUGUUGAGUUGGGGGACUACUGUUUGUUAUCCAUUGUACCUGUUGAAUGGACACAAUGCAGUAUCAACUCGGUUGCAAUGGAAGUUGAUGUUCUCGUUUUCCUGGUGUAUGGCAGCUUAAGUGAAGCAUGGAUUUCAACAAAUAAGCGAGUAGGAAACUUGCCAUUAUUGAUUCUACCAGAUAGCACUGCUAUUUUUCCAUUACUAAAUGCAGUUUUGUUUUUAUUGAUAAUUCUAUUUAUUGUAGCUUUUGCGAGCAAGUGACAGCAUUAAUGUUUUGCUAUAAAUAUAAUAUUGCAUUAAUGAAUAUUAUUACAGUCUCCAUGAAAAUGAUUACUUUGUUAUGAAUUAAAGUUUAUGAUAAUU